UGGUUAGGGCACCUAGAAAGCUCCGUCAAAUACGGAGAAUCCAAGGCUCUCCCCUCUCUCUCUUCUCCUAUCUCCUCCUAUUUUGUUUCUCUCUUCUCCUAUCUCUGAGUUUCUGGUUUCUCUUUCUUCUCUCUCCUCCUAUUUCCUUUCUCUCUCCUCUUAUUUGAGGAUAAAAAAUGGCGAUUAUUCACUCCUCUCUCUCACCUCUUUUCUAACUCAUAGUAAAAUCGACAAAUCGUCAAAACCAAAUUCCAAAGUACACAUUCCAGAUCUUUUUGUUUGGUUUUAAUUUAUGGUCUUAUUUUUGUUGUUUGAAUUUUUUGAGGUUUUGGCAUGUGAUAACUCGUUGAAAAUCUCUAUUCACUAUGUCAAGGAACUGGCCGCCGACUUCUCCUCCAAUCUCUCAUUCCACCAAAAAUAACUUCAAAGAAGCUUCUGGAUGCAUUGGUUGAGGCAUCUGUGAGAGAUUUUUGUGCUUUACCUGACGAAGGAGACAUAAUCGAUGCAGUCUCUCUAAAAACGUUGGAGUUGUUGCGCUUUGCUUUGUGUUUGGUUAAUCUUUGUGACUAUUAUGAUCCUUUUUCGCUAUUCCGGUACUCCAGGCUCCGCUUCUUUUAAUCGUUAACCUACCUAAACGGAUUGAUGGCAGAUUGAUGGCAGUUUGAUGACACUACAACAUAUAUUAAGUUGAAGAACUACUUUGUGGUGGAAAAUGAUCGGAGGAUUUGGGAGAAUAAUCAUACGUGUAUCGGCGCAACUUCAAGAAAAACGGUGAUGGAGUUUUUGGAAUGAACUGCAAAUUCAUUUGGGAUUUUUUCUUCUUCUUAGAAGUGUGUAGAUUGAUUUGGGAAAUUUUUUCUUCUAAGAAGUGUGUAGUGUAGACUUUUAUUUUUGUUACGGAGUCUGUCAAUUUUAUUAAUUUGUCAAUUGUAAUAAUUUGUAAUAAUAUUAUUGGUUUUUUUUCCUGUA